AUUCGCGGCCUAUCAGCUUGUUGGUGGGGUAACGGCCUACCAAGGCGAUGACGGGUAGCGGGUCUGAGAGGACGAUCCGUCACACUGGGACUGAGACACUGCCCAGACUCCUACGGGAGGCUGCAGUCGAGAAUCUUCCGCAAUGGGCGAAAGCCUGACGGAGCGACACCGCGUGCAGGAUGAAGGCCCUCGGGUCGUAAACUGCUGUCACGCUAUAGGAAAUCUUCGGAUUGACCAAAGCGAAAGGAAGCACCGGCUAACUCCGUGCCAGCAGCCGUGGUAAUACGGAGGGCGCAAACGUUGUUCGGAAUCACUGGGCAUAAAGCGCACGUAGGCGGCUUUUUAAGUCGGAUGUGAAAGCCCUCGGCUCAACCGAGGAACUGCAUUCGAUACUGGAAGGCUCGAGUCUGGUUGGGGUGAGUGGAACUCCUGGUGGAGCGGUGAAAUGCGUAGAUAUCAGGAGGAACACCAGUGGCGAAAGCGGCUCACUGGACCAGUACUGACGCUGAGGUGCGAAAGCUAGGGUAGCGAACGGGAUUAGAUACCCCGGUAGUCCUAGCCGUAAACGAUGGGCACUAGGUUGAGGGAACACCUAUGGUUUUCUCAGCCGUAGCAAAUGUGUUAAGUGCCCCGCCUGGGGAGUACGGAAUCGUCGACCCGCCGC
rnacentral:rRNA from 1 species